GGGUCAGUAGGUUGGUCGUGCCACCGGUACGUACUGGUCUCGCUGAUUCCUCCUUCCUGAAGAACCGUAAUGCCAUUAAUUUGGUGUUGCGGGGAAACAGGACUGUUACUUUGAAAAAAUUAGAGUGUUUAAAGCAAGCUAACGCUUGAAUACAUUAGCAUGGGAUAAUGAAAUAGGACGAUCGAUCCUAUUUUGCUGGUUUCUAGGAUCGACGUA
rnacentral:rRNA from 1 species